UCUCAUUCCUUUUUUCCCCUUUGGAACAAACUGGUCGUGCCCCUCUAAUCAAAGAAAUGUGAGGUUUGCAAGAGGCUCCAAAUACAUUUCCUGGCAACCAGACAAAAGUAAGUCUACUGAGAAGUUUAUGCAGAGGGAACAUUUCUUGUGUAUACAGUUGUGUCUUGUUCUCAGAUGCCCAUUCCAAAGCAAUUACUGCAUGGGAGAUGCAAAGUGGCUGGAAGAACCUGCUCAUUCUGGGUCUGUAAUGGAGCCUGUGAGGAGCUCAGCUUGCUGGGGUGCCAGCAGCCUCUGACAUAAGCAGAAACUCUUUUCUGGGCUAAAGCAGUCGAGGGCCCUGCAAGAGAGCCUGGUGCCCAGACUGGAGCUGGAAAAGGGAUUUGGCCUCUGCUGGGACAAUUCUGAGGGCUCAGGCUUAGAGGAGCCCAGGGAAUGUGAGGUUGUUGAGCAAGCUUCAGGAGCUUUCAGUCAGUGCUUCUUCUACAAAAGGUAAUAAAAAUGCAUCUUUAAAUCUUGUCCA
rnacentral:lncRNA from 1 species